rnacentral:rRNA from 1 species
AUUGAACGCUGGCGGCAUGCUUUACACAUGCAAGUCGAACGGUAACAGGCCGCAAGGUGCUGACGAGUGGCGAACGGGUGAGUAAUGCAUCGGAACGUGCCCAGUCGUGGGGGAUAACGCAGCGCAAGUUGCGCUAAUACCGCCUACGAUCCAUGGAUGAAAGCGGGGGACCGUAAGCCCCCGCGCGAUUGCAGCGGCCGAUGUCAGAUUAGGUAGUUGGUGGGGUAAAGGCUCACCAAGCCGACGAUCGGUAGCUGGUCUGAGAGGACGACCAGCCACACUGGGACUGAGUAACGGCCCAGACUCCUACGGGAGGCAGCAGUGGGGAAUUUUGGACAAUGGGCGCAAGCCUGAUCCAGCAAUGCCGCGUGCAGGAAGAAGGCCUUCGGGUUGUAAACUGCUUUUGUACGGAACGAAACGGUCCUGGUUAAUACCCGGGGCUAAUGACGGUACAGUAAGAAUAAGCACCGGCUAACUACGUUCCAGCCGCCGCUGUAAUAC